rnacentral:rRNA from 1 species
CCUACGGGAGGCAGCAGUGAGGAAUAUUGGUCAAUGGCCGAGAGGCUGAACCAGCCAAGUCGCGUGAGGGAAGACGGCCCUACGGGUUGUAAACCUCUUUUGUCGGGGAGCAAAGCGAGUCACGUGUGACUCAUUGAGAGUACCCGAAGAAAAAGCAUCGGCUAACUCCGUGCCAGCAGCCGCGGUAAUACGGAGGAUGCGAGCGUUAUCCGGAUUUAUUGGGUUUAAAGGGUGCGUAGGCGGACGCUUAAGUCAGCGGUAAAAUUGCGGGGCUCAACCUCGUCGAGCCGUUGAAACUGGGUGCCUUGAGUGGGCGAGAAGUACGCGGAAUGCGUGGUGUAGCGGUGAAAUGCAUAGAUAUCACGCAGAACUCCGAUUGCGAAGGCAGCGUACCGGCGCCCAACUGACGCUGAAGCACGAAGGCGUGGGUAUCGAACAGGAUUAGAUACCCUUUAGUC